AGUCUCUGCCCUGUUAACACCAGCAGCUGAGAGGCGAGGACCUCUUUGUCCUGAACCUGGAGGAUGGCCUGAGGAGAUGAACGUGGACAAACGUACGUCAUUUCUAUAAAAACCACCAGAAACGCCCACGACAUAAACAUGCAGAUAUACAGGUGCAACGCUCAAAUACACUCCAGCUCACCUUUUCCUCCUUCCAAUAACUUUUUGACAGAAAGCCUCGGGAGGGGCUCAGCCUGCAGCGAUGACACUUUGGAGGUUGGCGUGUUUGCCCUGCUGUGAAGUAGUGUCUGAAGUAUGAGACAGUCCUCCAGCUGUUUCAGCAGGAGCUUCCAGUACUCGGUGUCAAGAGAGAGGGCCUCCCAGGAGUCGGUGAGGGCCUCGGAAUCAGCACCCAAGACUGUUUGGGAAAACUAACAGAAAACACACUGGUGAUACUCUGGCAAAGAAUCUGGAUCGACAUUAACUUGAAUGAGCUUUUAACUUGAAAGCUGAUGACAGACCGUCAGGAUACAUCACAAAGCAGCACACAGAUGCUGGUUCACAAAUGUUACUACUUGACUGGGAUGGGACAGGAGGGACAGGAGGAGACGGCAGACUCUGGGGCAACAGUGAGUUGGAGUCACUGCUUCGACAUUUGCAAGAAGAUCUGCAGUAACGCCCGAUUCAUGCAGUGUGUACUUCAACACGUUUGCAGGGCCAUCCUUGACAAGGGCCCCGGUCUCUUCGGUCAGUACUGGGUACUGGUAUCUCUUCAAAAUGCACUCACCAACAUACAAAACGUAUCUCAAACUUCUUCUCUUUCCAUUAUUAUAAACAUCUUAAGCCAGUACUCUUAAAUUUAGCAUAGAAACUAUACUCAGACCGACAGUGUUAAGUGAAUGUCUAUAGGCCCAUUUAAGUGACUCAUCCAAUUAAACGCAACGUCCCCUAGAAAGAAAUUAUUUGAUCUACCAUGAGAUAUGAGAUUUUUAAAAUAAAUUUGAGUGUUCAAGAGAUGAGGAGAAACCACAAAGCAAAACGAUCAAUAGGAAACUUUUAUGUGUCAUUCAACACUACAUCCCCUAAAACAACUUCUGUUUAUAAAAGAGGGGACAGAGGUUAUAAAUGCAACCGUAGAACUUGAGAGCUACAACAAAGCUCAGAAAUAACGCAGCCUAACCCUGACCUCCUGCAGACGGAACCGAAGCAGGAGACACAUGUUUAAGGGACUUACCACACCCGAGGGGGAAGACCUCUGCCCUCCACCUGCAGGACUUUACCCCUCAUGCCAUGAGGUGGCGGCUCAGCUCAAAUACGCAUGUCAUCUGAAUAAACAAGUUCAGGGCAGCACCCCUCACUCCCAACAAGACAAAUAAGAACCUGCUGGGCACACAUUUCAAACUCCAGAUGUUCCAUAACACUGAAGACACUGCAGCCCCGACACAGGCUGGACAGGGACAGACCCAGCCUAUCCAAACAUAGGGGUGCCCCUGCCCACUUACUUUCUUCUCAGUCAGACUGUUCGAGAUCUGUGCGGCAACGGAAUGGCCGACGUGUGCAGACAGCAGGGCGGCCCCGUUGUUCUCAGACUGAACACAAGCCGUCCGCAUCUGCUGCCACCACGGGGACACAGACUGGGAGUCCCAGGUCUCGUCGAUGGCCACUGCAGGCAAAAAGAGAAAGUUAAACAACAGACUUGGAGCUUGUCGAUUUUUUCUGGUCCAAUCUUUACAUCAAAUGUAAUGCAGAAGCUGAAUUCGCCAGUUAUGCACUGGUAGAUUUCUGAAUGACUCAGAAAAUAAAUCCAUAACUUCUCUUGUCAGAAUACUUAUAUCCCAUUUAUUUAGGCUGCCUUUAGUGGUCUUGCUUCUGAAUCAACUGUAAAUCUGUGGAAUAUUUUCAUCAUUGCUGAAAACUACUAUUGAAUUUUUUUUUUAAGUUUUAUUUUACUUAUUUUGAGAGAAAG